GUGGAAGAACACACCAAGAAGAAUUUUGAUAACGAUUAGGGCUCAAAAGUUCCACAUUUGAAGAUGUACAUACUAAGGAGGCUUUCAAUGGUUGCCAUCUAUGCUACAUUAAACCUUCAACAUGGCCCCGGUUGUCUUUCCAUUUGGUGUCGCCGGAUUGUAUUUCAUCUCUUUAUGUGUUCACACGCCG